GGGGGGGGGGGGGGGGGGGGGGGGGGCGGGGGGGGGGGGGGCAUUUGGGGUGCCCGUGGCUGGCUACACCGGACGAACAUGAGUGGCGCACGGGUGUGUAACGCGUGGUUAACCGGCCCAUCAGCGGGGGCUAACACUAGGAAACAGGUGCUACUCCCGCAUAAUUCCCUUUCCUGCAUGGUAGAUUGAUGAGCUUCUCUUUUGCUUCACUGAUGUAUGUACCCGCGGUGCAUUCGCUAGUUUGUGGGGUCCAGGCCUACAAAGGCUGCGACGCAUAGACGGCCUGAGAGGGUGAGGGGCCAAACUGGGACUGAGACACGGCCCAGACUCGUGCGGGAGGCAGCAGUAGGGAAUCUUCGGCAAUGGACGCAAGUCGGACCGAGCAACGCCGCGUGAGUGAAGAAGGUUUUCGGAUCGUAAGAAUCUGUUGUUAGAAAAGAACAAGGAUGAGAGUGGAAAGUUCAUCCCUUGUCGGUAUCUAACCAGAAAGACACGGCUAACUACGUG
rnacentral:rRNA from 1 species